AAAAAUACAUCUACAGCACUCAUAAAUUCUUUUGUGGGCACAGAAGCCUGGGAGAAUGGAGAUAGACAUGAUGUGUUGAUGGCUUGAUGCUAAUUACUUUACCCAGCUCUUCAUAAGUCUUUUUUGUGCUCCCUUGUGAAUAGCUUCUUGUGGAAUGGCACUUAUAUAUUCAGUCCCAUUUGUUAAUUAUUGAAUUGAUAUUUUUCUGGUGGUUACUACAGUUUCUUGUGUCAAUCCAUGAUUUUAUCCUUUGCAGGGUUAAUGGCUGUUUGCUGAAUCAUACAACCAUAUCAACUGGUCUCAUCACCCACAAUGUUUCUUAUCUCUACGUAAUCGGUUGGUCUUUUAGAACUGUAUACCCUUCCCUGUAUUUGGAGGAGUGCAUCAGUUGGUUGUGACUUGUGAGUGUGCUUUUAAAGUCUCUUGCAGAAUGUGCAGCAUGGAGGUCUGCAUAGAUGAUGUGUUGAGCCAGUUGAGAUGAAAAUGCCAAAUUCUUUUCCAUGUCUUUUCCCCAACAAGUUGUCGACAGUGUUCCUUAAGGAUAAUCCUUCAUCUCUUUUCAUUUUUUUCACUACCUUUUGGCAAUAGCGAUACAAUUGUUGUUCAUAACUGAUGGACGAACCUUUGACAAUACAGAGCACAGGAAAAUGCUGUGGCAUACGUACAAGAUGAGAAACUUCAUGUCUUGCAGGGACAAAAUUCUGGAUUUGCCAAAGUAGACUUCGAAAAGGAAAGUGGGUAUUUUGAAUUUCUUGAAGGUGGGGGAGCACAAUGGGGCUGUUCGGUAACUUUGUUAGGCCAAGCAAAGAGAAGCUACUAUAAUUUUGUCUACACGGUGGUGGCUAUAUGCUUCAUCUGUAUGUCAAGUUUCUCGGUUGUAGAAGUUCUAUGACGUGGGAGAGUCAUGAUUAAGAGACUCUUCACUCAUGGGUUUUGGCGUUUGGAUGGAACUGUUGGAAUGGUGGGUGAGUAGUUUGGGCAUGCAUAUAAGGGGAUUGGGCAUUAUGACAUUUCAAUGAUGGGAUCCUCUUCACUUGCGAUGAAGGAAAACUUUUGCCAAAAAAAGUAGUUAAAAAGUCGAAACUUAAAGAAUGGAUUGAUGAUAGAAAAUACAAGGAGAGAGGUCCAUUAAA